rnacentral:piRNA from 1 species
UGGGUGAAGAAGCACAAGCAAGGUGUCAAGU